rnacentral:misc_RNA from 1 species
UACGGAGGGUCCGAGCGUUAUCCGGAAUCAUUGGGUUUAAAGGGUCCGUAGGCGGGCAGCUAAGUCAGUGGUGAAAGUCUGUGGCUCAACCAUAGAAUUGCCAUUGAUACUGGUUGUCUUGAAUCGUUGUGAAGUGGUUAGAAUGAGUAGUGUAGCGGUGAAAUGCAUAGAUAUUACUCAGAAUACCGAUUGCGAAGGCAGAUCACUAACAACGCAUUGACGCUGAGGGACGAAAGCGUGGGGAGCGAACAGG